GAUGAACGCUGGCGGCGUGCCUAAUACAUGCAAGUCGAGCGAACGGACGAGAAGCUUGCUUCUCUGAUGUUAGCGGCGGACGGGUGAGUAACACGUGGAUAACCUACCUAUAAGACUGGGAUAACUUCGGGAAACCGUAGCUAAUACCGGAUAAUAUUUUGAACCGCAUGGUUCAAAAGUGAAAGACGGUCUUGCUGUCACUUAUAGAUGGAUCCGCGCUGCAUUAGCUAGUUGGUAAGGUAACGGCUUACCAAGGCAACGAUGCAUAGCCGACCUGAGAGGGUGAUCAGCCACACUGGAACUGAGACACGGUCCAGACUCCUACGGGAGGCAGCAGUAGGGAAUCUUCGGCAAUGGGCGAAAGCCUGACGGAGCCACGCCGCGUGAGUGAUGAAGGUCUUCGGAUCGUAAAACUCUGUUAUUAGGGAAGAACAUCUGUGUAAGUAACUGUGCACAUCUUGACGGUACCUAAUCAGAAAGCAACGGCUAACUACGUG
rnacentral:rRNA from 1 species